GCCGGGGAGAUGGAAGCAGGAGAGGGUAAAAGCAGGCGUGCAGCAGAGCAGUGCCGAGCAGGCACAGAGCGAGCUGCAGCACGUCAGCACCGAUGUGCCCUGGCAGAGCCUCCCGACCGAGGCGGGAACUGCAGGAAGAAGCUGCGAGCGCGCAAUAGCGCUGUAUAAAACACUCAAAUGACAAAAUCUCUCUUCCAAAGAGGGCCAAGGCUUAUUCUCCACUUUCCCGCUGAGCCAGCCAAUCCUACCUCCUGGAGGCAGAUCAGACACCACCCCUCUUCUCUCCGCACCACCUCAGUAUGCCAUUUUCCAAGAGGAGCCCCUAGAAGCAGGUGACAGCACUAAGGAACUGAGGACAGAAGAGCCAAGCCUGCACUACAGGGUCAUGUGUUAGGAUAAAAGAAUGGACCAGAAGUUCCUACACAAGGACAUUUAGACACCAAAAUGCAGACUGUGGUUGCCAAUGCUACACUGACAUCUAACAGAGACCGACACAGAGAUGCCUAAGCCUGGAGAGAGACAGGACUUCAGUAUGUCCUGUUGGACAGCUUAAGCACCCCCACAUUUACCAUGUUGUCUGGGUGACUCUCAUUCCCAGUCUCUGAACUAUUCUUAAUCCAAAGAUCUUCCUAUCCAGAAGGGAGACUAGAAGUUGAGCUGCUUAGAGGAGUACUGCAAACUGCAAACCUGCUCUUCUGGCUCAGGUGGAGACUACUGCAGACAGGAAUACUUUGCUUUUGCCAAGAGAGGAUUUUGGCUUCAGCCUCCAUUUUGCUAUUGUUUUUCCAACUGUGAACUCUUGACACUCUCACAAAAAUCUGAAGGUGGAUGUAACACUGGAGAGGUGUGUAAGGACAGAUGACUAAUACUAGGAGGAUGCAGUAUCACUGAUUUUCAGCAAGUCCCUGAAGUGAAGAAAAGCUAUCCAGAUUAUAAUAGGAUCUUGCCUAUUCUAAGAAU